rnacentral:rRNA from 1 species
UACGUAGGGUGCAAGCGUUAAUCGGAAUUAUUGGGCGUAAAGGGUGCGUAGGCGGCCUGACAAGUCUGAUGUGAAAUCCCUGGGCUCAACCCAGGGCCUGCAUCGGAAACUGUCGGGCUUGAGUAUGGGGAGAGGUGAGUGGAAUUUCCGGUGUAGCGGUGAAAUGCGUAGAUAUCGGAAGGAACACCUGUGGCGAAAGCGGCUCACUGGACCAUUACUGACGCUGAGGCACGAAAGCUAGGG